CCCCCUCCUUACCUCUUUCCAAUGUGGGAUACUUUCAAUCCACCUCAUAGGGCUUCUACCCCCCAUAAGGCCUGAGCGUCCUCGCUCAGCACAUCGUACUCAUGAGGCGCAGGCUCUGAUACCAAUUGUAACAUCCUCUAGGCCCGCAACAGUAGAUAUUGUCCGCUUUGGGUUCGAGCGCCUUGGCCCAGCCUUCCCCUCACGGUUUUGUUUCUCAGAGUUCACGCAAGCGUCCUUCCCCUGAAAACGCGUCUACUGUGGUCUCUUGGGGCUUGCCCUUAUAAGGCGUCCCCCCUCCUUAUCUCUUUCCGAUGUGGAAUACUUUCAAUCCACCUCAUAAGGCUUCUACCCCCCAUAAGGCCUGAGCGUCCUUGCUCAGCACACCGUACUCAUGAGGCCCAGGCUCUGAUACCAAUUGUAACAUCCUCUGGGCCCACAACAGUAGAUAUUGUCCGCUUUGGCUUCGAGGGCCUUGGCCCAGCCUUCCCCUCACAGUUUUGUUUGUCAGGGUUCACGCAAGCGUCCUUCCCCUGAAAACGCGUCUACUGUGGUCUCUUGGGGCUUGCCCUUAUAAGGCGUUUCGACUCCUUACCUCUUUCCGAUGUGGGAUACUUUCAAUCCACCUCAUAGGGCUUCUACCCCCCAAAAGGCCUGAACGUCCUCGCUCAGCACACCGUACUCAUGAGGCCCAGGCUCUGGUACCAAUUGUAACAUCCUCUAGGCCCACAACAGUAGAUAUUGUCCGCUUUGGGUUCGAGGGCCUUGGCCCAGCCUUCCCCUCACGGUUUUGUUUCUCAGGGUUCACGCAAGCGACCUUCCCCUGAAAAUGCGUCUACUGUGGUCUCUUGGGGCUUGCCCUUAUAAGGCGUCCCCCCUCCUUACCACUUUCCAAUGUGGGAUACUUUCAAUCCACCUCAUAGGGCUUCUACUCCCCAUAAGGCCUGAGCAACCUCGCUCAGCACACCGUACUCAUGAGGCCCAGGCUCUGAUACCAAUUGUAACAUCCUCUGGGCCCACAACAGUAGAUAUUGUCCGCUUUGGGUUCGAGGGCCUUGGCCCAGCCUUCCCCUCACGGUUUUGUUUCU
rnacentral:lncRNA from 1 species